CUUUGGGCUUGGAUAAAGAGGACACAGAGGGGGAAAAAUACUGGGGUCAGGUGUGCUUUCUUGUUUGUGACUCUUCUGAUGACGGGAGCUUUAGAUGCCUGGAAGAGGUCAAUCUCUCUUCACGAGGUCCAGCUGCCUUCUCGGUCUCUCUAAAUAAAUAAACAGCUGGAGAAAGGAUAGAAUCUUGAUUAACUCUGAAGGGCAAGAUCGAAGCAGAACAGGAUCUGACAAGACGAGCUGGUGCCGAGGACCAAGAUCUAUUAUUGAAACAUCCUUGGGAAAUCUCUUGGGAAUGUAGUAACCUUUGUUUCGUUACUGUUUUCCCCGUUGGUAAUCUUGCCAUCAUUCAUAACAGCAUCUUACCAUGUGUCAAUCCAAACGAUUCGAGGUCACCAGGGUCAUGGUAUAAGUUCCUUUUGAAUUAUUAUCCCUCCAGAGGCUUUCUGAGUGUGCCGGGUCACCCACCCAUCACUUCAAAGAAAGCACAACACCAGUCACACAAGUUUAAAGCCCACAUGGAGGGGGAAGGAUGACUUCAACUCAAAGGAAACAAACUUCUUGAAUUUUUCCCCCCAGCGUGUCUGCUUUACACAAUAAUAUGCGUUAUUUCUUGUUGUGCUGGAAUAAAUCGCUCCAAUAAAUCCA